GCUCUGCUAAUCGGGGCAACUAUGUUGAGCUCUUAUAAGACUUUUAAAACUGGAGGAAGUGAAGGAGGACUUUUACCAGAAAGUUUGGGCUAUUUUUAUCCAAACGGACCGGCGCAUGGACUUCAUUUAUAAGUAAAGGUGCACUCAGCGGCUCCACUGUGAGCGCGUCUGGAGACGCCCACACACGCGCUGCGCAGACCGCGCCCACACGCCGCCACAGCCGGCGCCAAUCUUCCAUCAGCACAACUGACGGGGAUUACAGACAACCAGAUAAGAGGCCUCACCGCUGAUCACUCGACGUUGGAACGUCGCUCUGCUCGCAUCUCGUGCAUUAUUGCUCACUCCCUUUUCCCUGGACCCGGAUUGCCUUCUCGAUAUUGACACCUUGCUUGGACCUUGGACGCUCUCUCCUGCAUCACAUACCCUUUGGACAUCGGACUUCUUUGCCCCUCCCUUUUCAGAAUUUGGAUUCUCUCAUUCAACAGACUUGACAACACUCCUUAAAGUAUUUACAGAUGUUAAUUCCAGCACAUAACUCGCAUGCAUAACACAUAGUAACGUACACAUCCCAUGUAUUCAUCAAGCACUCAAUAAAAUAUAUAUUGAGUUGUACUUCUGCUGUUGUGCCAUCU